AGAAGGAAUGGAGAAGAUCCACACAGUGCCUCACAGCAGACUCCAAGUAUGAAAUGGAAUGGCAGGCAUCAGAAGAUGCCCCUCAUGACAUGGUUGCCAUGUUACAGAGAGUUCACCUGACUGACGACAUGGAAUGGGUGAUCGUGGUCACAUAAUUCAGUUGUCUUCAGGUACAGUAUAAUAGAGGAGCAGGUGUGAUCCAGGGGAAUCUCCAGAUUUGGCAAAGACAGGUCAGCAGGGGGACAGUGGCAGCUCUCUUUUGCCAGCAUCAGCUGCCUCUUCAACUGAGGAGAAUGUGAGAGCACUGAUGGUGAUCUUACAUGGAUGUGGGCAGGGAUAUAGUAACCAAUAUACAGAUGCUUUCUUCAUAAUCUUACUUUCCUUCGGUCAGGCAUUUCUGAUCCAAAAGAAGUUAUUUCUGGCAAUUCUCUUCUGGCAAGCUGUGGAGCCUUAGUUCAGAAAGACUGAGCCGUCAUUCAGUCAGUCUGGCUAAGUCGCCACCUCUUGCUUUAAGGCCUUGCCGGAAAUGGAGGACUUUUGGAGUGGAUUCUCGGCGCGUGAGCAGUAAAGAAGGAAUGGAGAAGAUCCACACAGUGCCUCACAGCAGACUCCAAGUAUGAAAUGGAAUGGGUAUGUAAACCAUAGUUGUUAUCAUUCAUAUGAGCAAACAGUGGAUUGAUGUUGAAUUGUUGUGUCCUUAACAUAUUUACGUUUGCAUGCGUGGUGGACGAUAUGCGGGAUUCUCUUUUCGGGUUUAACUGGGUAAACCUAUUCCGACGCACCUGUCCCCACAAAAGAGGUGUGUAAAAGCGUUUUGUAAACCCUCUAUAGUAUAAUCAUUUAUACCACCAUUGAUAUACUUAUUAAUACCAACCAUCAUGACUUACAGUAAUACUAACACACUUUAUUUCUCUUCCCUUUCCCCUAUACCUCACCUGUGAGGUAAACCAUUACCAGCCAUCAACCAUCUCUGUGCCUGUCCCUCAUCACACCUGAAGUCACAUCCCUAUGACUGCCCUACCAUCGCCUGCUGUGGCUCCCUGCCCGAAUCCUUGGCCCACGCAUCCUAGCGACCCAUCACUUUCCGAAAUAACUAAUGGAUUACUAAUGGACAAUUUAUUCCCUACACUGGACUAUUUGAACUUUCAUUGUCAUUGUAACUUUCAAACUACAAAUGACUUUACUGUAACUGACCCUAGGCAGAUGGGUUGGGCCCUUGAGUCGUGGAUCUGUCUGAGGUUUCUUCCUACUGUAUAUGUAUCUCCAAUUCUAGGGAGUUUUUCCUUGCCCCUGUUACUCAUGGGCUCUCUUUGAAUGUUUAACACUCUGUAAGGCGCUCUA